AUACGGAGGGCGCAAGCGUUGUUCGGAUUUACUGGGCGUAAAGAGCAUGUAGGCGGUUAGAUUAGUCAGUUGUGAAAUCCUAUGGCUUAACCAUAGAAUUGCAUCUGAUACUGUCUAGCUAGAGUGCAGAAGAGGAGAGUGGAAUUUCCAGUGUAGCGGUGAAAUGCGUAGAUAUUGGAAGGAACACCGGUGGCGAAGGCGGCUCUCUGGUCUGUAACUGACGCUGAGAUGCGAAAGCGUGGGUAGCAAACAGGAUUAGAUACCCCGGUAGUCC
rnacentral:rRNA from 1 species